rnacentral:tRNA from 1 species
GCGGGGGUAGCCAAGUCUGGUCAAAGGCGCAGGGCUUAGGAUCCCGUAGGGGUUCGUGGGUUCAAAUCCCACCCCCCGCA